rnacentral:misc_RNA from 1 species
GGAAGUAAAAGUUGUAACAAGGUUUCCGUAGGUGAACCUGCGGAAGGAUCAUUAUCGUACAAAAUGUGAGGGGCAUGCGAGGGCUGUCGCUGACCCAAAAGUCGUGCACGCCCGAGUGUGUCCUCUUGCAUAAUAAUCCAUCUCACCCUUUGUGCAUCACCGCGUGGGCACCCUUCGGGAUCAUCUCGGAGGGGGGCUCGCGUCUUCACACAAACCCCCCUUUUAAAAGUGUAGAAUGACCACAUUUAUGCAAUCAAUACAACUUUCAACAACGGAUCUCUUGGCUCUC